CUUUAGAUGCUAGUGCAGUUAGUGUGAGGAGAGGCGGGUGUACUAGAAUUGAACCCGCUGAAGGCGAUUACGAACCAAUUAACGGUAUCUAAUUACAGAACUAAUAUUAUGAUGCCAUAUUGUUUGUUUCUAAUUAUCAGAAAUAUCCUAACUAUGAUACAAUGGAUCGUUUUGUACUCGCUUGCAGAAACUCCGAAGUUGUGUGGUUUUCUGAAUCGGAAUUGCAAAAUGGCGAAUGAAGAAACAUAAGCUGAUGUUAUGAUUCCAUUGUUAUUGGAUUCGUUGUUCGUCCAGUUGAUAUAGACACAACCGUAUGUCAUCAGUAUGUCCUAACCGGCCAAUCUUUGCUAAAUAAUUCCAAUGACUCUCUUGGGGUAAGAAAUCAAAAAUGCGAGUAAUCCUUAUUGGACUGUCCGAUGAAAUUAUUUUCGGAUUUAUAAAGUGUUCACAUAACAUUUGAGACCAAUGUAUAUAUCGUCCAUAUGUAGUAUCGUUGGCAGUAGAGAUUCCGAAUUUGUUUUUUGAAAAAAAUAAGCUGAUGUUAUGAUUCUGAAACGUUUAUAGUUAUUAGAAAUAUCCGACUGUUGGCAGUAGAGAUUCCGGAUUUGGUUUUUGAAAAAAAGAAGCUGAUGUUAUGAUUCCAUUGUUAAUUCUUUCUGAAACGUUUAUAAUUAUCAGAAAUAUCCGACAAUUGUCAGUAGAGAUUCCGGAUUUGUUUUUUGAAAAAAAUAAGCUGAUGUUAUGAUUCCAUUGUUAAUUCUUUCUGAAACGUUUAUAGUUAUCAGAAAUAUCCGACAAUUGUCAGUCGAGAUGUCGGAUUUGUUUUUUGAAAAAAAUAAGCUGAUGUUAUGAUUCCAUUGUUAAUUAUUUCUGAAAUGCUUAUAGUUAUCAGAAAUAUCCGACAAUUGUCAUUUGAGAUUCCGGAUUUGUUUUUUGAAGGGAAAAAAAAUAAGCUGAUGUUAUGAUUCCAUUGUUAAUUCUUUCUGAAACGUUUAUAGUUAUCAGAAAUAUCUUGACCGCUGGCAGUAGAGAUUCUGAAUUGGUUUUUUGAAAAAAAAAAAAAAAAAAAAGUAAGCUUAUGUUAUGAUUCCAUUGUUAAUUACUUCUGAAACAUUUAUAGUUAUCAGAAAUAUCUUGACCGUUGGCAGUAGAGAUUCCGAAUUUGUUUUUUGAAGGAAAAAAAAUAAAUAAAUAAGCUGAUGUUAUGAUUCCAUUGUUAAUUAUUUCUGAAACUAAUAGUUAUCAGAAAUAUCCUGAUCACUGACUAUAAGUGACUACAAAAACUUCGAAGUUGUUUUCUGAAUGUAAAAAGGCAUUGCAGAGGAAGGAAGAAGGAAUACGUCAUAUGUUUGUCGAGCGAGUGAAGGAGAAAGAAGCUGAAUUGAUAGAUGCUUUGAGAGAACAUGCAUAGUUUGGUGGUUUGAAGAAACAGCAUGCAGAAGAGAAAAAAAAAUUGGAAGAAGACAGAAAGAAAUUAGAUGAAGACAUAAUGAAUUUUCUUUAAAAACUGGGAAUUAAAAUUUUUCAAUCUAAAAAUUGUUGAUUUCUUAAUA